rnacentral:rRNA from 1 species
CAAAUAAGUUGGCUCAACCAGCAUAGGGCAGUGGAGUACUAUGAAACUAGAGUGCGGUAGAGGUAGAGGGAAUUCCUAGCGUAACAGUGAAAUGUGUAGAUUUUAGGGAGAACACCAGCGGCGAAGGCGCUCUACUGGGCCGUGACUGACACUGAGAGACGAAAGCUAAGGGAGAGAAAAGGCUAACUCGCGAGAGCUUSCCAMUCUGUUAAACUCAACCUCAGUUCGGAUUGUAGGCUGCAACUCGCCUACAUGAAGCCGGAAUCGCUAGUAAUC